rnacentral:lncRNA from 1 species
CGUUCUUUUUUUNUUGUCUGGUAAAGAGUGAUGCAAUUUCACUUGAUCCAUUCAAGAACAUACGCCCUGGUAUCCUAUGUAGCUGUUCCUCCCUCUUAUAGUCAAAGGACGAAUUUCGAGACCCAAGCCUCUUCUUCGAGCCCUUCCUCUUCCUUAACCCCACAGGAGAACCAGGUUGGGGGCUCCUGCUAUCCCCGGACAAGCAGGACCCCAUUCUUAGGGUCCUGAUUAUAUUCAGUAUGCACUCCAUAACAGCAACACAGUCACAACUCCGAUUUUCCGUGUUUGGAUCGGUAACAGAAAUCCCUAUUAAAAAUCCUUGCGAGAUCUUUAGAUUCACACACUCUAAUUCUCCACUCAAUCCAGAUGAAUUAUCCCUUCACCAAGAGUUCAAAUUCCAACAUGAAAAAUUACGUCAUAUUCCCGUUGAUUGGGAAGCUCAAAAUACGCAAAGCACAAAGCUUUCAACAAUCUAAUUAAGUUCACCACUAAAUCUUCUUCUUCGCCCAUAAAAUUCGUCCUCUUUAAUUGGGAAAAUUCACCUGCUUACACACUGAGAAUACAACAAUAAGCUUCCAACCCCACAAAGUGAUAGAAUUUAUGAAUACCCUUCUCCUUAAAUGGCCCUAACACAAGAAAUAUUAACACAGAAAGUAUAAACUUAUUAUAAUAAUUAUUAUUAUUAUAAUGUAAUAAAAAAGCUAAAAAAGGUAGAACUUCAAUAUCCAUUAUCCAUUAUAAAUGUAAAAGACACUUCGAAUGCUUGAAAACCCACAAAUUCAAGUAGAUCAAUCAGAGCUCAAGAUUAUAUAAGAAUUCCAAAAAAUCCCCUGCAUUCCUGCCCAGAGAAGCCAGAAUUUUCAAUAAAUUCCAAGAAACGAACUAAACGAAAUAAUAAUAAUAAUAAUAAUAAUAAUAAUAAUAAUAAUAAUAAUAAUAAUAAUAAUAAUAAUAAUAAUAACUGAAACAUGAAAAACAAAAGAUCAAACCAAUAAAAGGCAUUUAUCCAUUGCACAAUUUUCCAAAGUCAAUAGAGAAAUUAAAGUCUGGAAUAAAAAAUACUGCAACAAAUGGUCAAGAUCAAAGAAGACAAAAUUUGGCCUUUGAAAUUGAAACAGAAAUUGAAUCGAGAGCAAUAAAAGGGGGGGGGGAGAGAGAGAUGAGAUUCGCCAAAAAAGCCGUCGAUUUGAUUUUUUUACAACACAGAAAAAAUUACAAGGGAGAGAAAAGGCUUGGUCAGUGUGUGUGUGUGUGUG